AGCUUCGUAGUUCAGCUGGUAGAGCGCUUGUCAAGGCAAGGCGUGAUAUCUCUGUUGCUGGUUCGAAUCCAGCUGAAGCCC